GACGAACGCUGGCGGCGUGCCUAAUACAUGCAAGUCGAGCGCAGGAAACCGUCUGAACCCUUCGGGGGGAUGACGGCGGAAUGAGCGGCGGACGGGUGAGUAACACGUAAAGAACCUGCCCACGGGUCUGGGAUAACCACGAGAAAUCGGGGCUAAUACCGGACGGGUCAUCGGACCGCAUGGUCCGAGGAUGAAAGGCGCUCCGGCGUCGCCCGUGGAUGGCCUUGCGGUGCAUUAGCUAGUUGGUGGGGUAUCGGCCCACCAAGGCGACGAUGCAUAGCCGACCUGAGAGGGUGAUCGGCCACACUGGGACUGAGACACGGCCCAGACUCCUACGGGAGGCAGCAGUAGGGAAUCUUCCACAAUGGACGAAAGUCUGAUGGAGCAACGCCGCGUGAACGAUGAAGGCCCUCGGGUCGUAAAGUUCUGUUGUAAGGGAAGAACAAGUGCCGCAGGCAAUGGCGGCACCUUGACGGUACCUUGCGAGAAAGCCACGGCUAACUACGUGCCAGCCGCCGCGGUAAAAC
rnacentral:rRNA from 1 species